UCGGACUGCAGUCUGCAACUCGACUGCACGAAGUCGGAAUUGCUAGUAAUCGCGGAUCAGCAUGCCGCGGUGAAUACGUUCCCGGGCCUUGUACACACCGCCCGUCACACCAUGGGAGUCGGUAACACCCGAAGUCGGUAGCCUAACCGUAAGGAGGGCGCCGCCGAAGGUGGGAUUGAUGACUGGGGUGAAGUCGUAACAAGGUAAC
rnacentral:rRNA from 1 species